AAAAAUGUUCGGCAAAACAAGAGAAAUCUUGCGACGCAAAGUUAUAUGACUUUCAGAGUUUUAGGCAGCAAGUUGCAUUC
rnacentral:ncRNA from 1 species